AUUGAACGCUGGCGGCAGGCUUAACACAUGCAAGUCGAGCGAGCGGCGGACGGGUGAGUAAUGUAUGGGGAUCUGCCUGAUGGCGGGGGUUAACUACUGGAAACGGUAGCUAAUACCGCAUACCAUCAGUUGAACCCCUAUGGGCUUAGCUUGUUGGUGAGGUAACGGCUCACUUAGGCGACGAUCCCUAGCUGGUCUGAGAGGAGGAUCAGGCACACUGGGACUGAGACACGGCACAGACGCCUACGGGAGGCAGCAGUGGGGAAUAUUGCACAAUGGGCGAAAGCCUGAGGCAGCAAUGCCGCGUGGAUGAAGAAGGCCUUCGGGUUGUAAAGUACUUUCAGUCGGGAGGCGUUACCGACAGAAGAAGCACCGGCUAACUCCGUGCCAGCCGCCGCGGUAAUUC
rnacentral:rRNA from 1 species